rnacentral:lncRNA from 1 species
UCCACCUUGGGCUCCUUCCACAGCACCUCUGCUAUCACCCUCUUCGUCACCGCCUCGUCCUCCUCCACUCUCACCACCCUCUCAAUCCACCGCACUUAUUAGAUGUGCCUUCUCGAAUAUCUCCCAUGCCCUUGCCGCUGAUCUUCGCAUCGAGUGUCGCUACCUUUCCCCACUCCACUUCUCCCACACCCUCGCCCACCUGCACUCCCUCUCCCUCCUCCCCUCGCUCUUAGCGCCGCCCAUUGCUGCCUACCGCCUAUGCCUCCGAGACCAGGGCAAGGAGCCUAGGG